rnacentral:rRNA from 1 species
AAUAGAUACCCCGGGUAGUCCACGCCGUAAACGAUGAGUGCUAAGUGUUAGAGGGUUUCCGCCCUUUAGUGCUGCAGCUAACGCAUUAAGCACUCCGCCUGGGGAGUACGGCCGCAAGGCUGAAACUCAAAGGAAUUGACGGGGGCCCGCACAAGCGGUGGAGCAUGUGGUUUAAUUCGAAGCAACGCGAAGAACCUUACCAGGUCUUGACAUCCUCUGACAACCCUAGAGAUAGGGCUUUCCCCUUCGGGGGACAGAGUGACAGGUGGUGCAUGGUUGUCGUCAGCUCGUGUCGUGAGAUGUUGGGUUAAGUCCCGCAACGAGCGCAACCCUUGAUCUUAGUUGCCAGCAUUCAGUUGGGCACUCUAAGGUGACUGCCGGUGACAAACCGGAGGAAGGUGGGGAUGACGUCAAAUCAUCAUGCCCCUUAUGACCUGGGCUACACACGUGCUACAAUGGAUGGUACAAAGGGCUGCAAACCUGCGAAGGUAAGCGAAUCCCAUAAAGCCAUUCUCAGUUCGGAUUGCAGG